rnacentral:rRNA from 1 species
CAGCCGCCGCGGUAAUACGAAGGGUGCAAGCGUUACUCGGAAUUACUGGGCGUAAAGCGUGCGUAGGCGGCUUUUUAAGUCGGAUGUGAAAUCCCUGAGCUUAACUUAGGAAUUGCAUUCGAUACUGGGAAGCUAGAGUAUGGGAGAGGAUGGUAGAAUUCCAGGUGUAGCGGUAAAAUGCGUAGAGAUCUGGAGGAAUACCGAUGGCGAAGGCAGCCAUCUGGCCUAAUACUGACGCUGAGGUACGAAAGCAUGGGGAGCAAACAGGAUUAGAUACCCCUGUAGUCCCUGUCUCUUAUAA